GCGCGCGGCGGGCGGGGCGGGGGCACGGGGGGAACGCGAAGAACCUUACCUACUCUUGACAUCCAGAGAAUUUAGCAGAGAUGCUUUAGUGCCUUCGGGAACUCUGAGACAGGUGCUGCAUGGCUGUCGUCAGCUCGUGUUGUGAAAUGUUGGGUUAAGUCCCGCAACGAGCGCAACCCUUAUCCUUUGUUGCCAGCACGUAAUGGUGGGAACUCAAAGGAGACUGCCGGUGAUAAACCGGAGGAAGGUGGGGAUGACGUCAAGUCAUCAUGGCCCUUACGAGUAGGGCUACACACGUGCUACAAUGGCGUAUACAAAGAGAAGCGACCUCGCGAGAGCAAGCGGAACUCAUAAAGUACGUCGUAGUCCGGAUUGGAGUCUGCAACUCGACUCCAUGAAGUCGGAAUCGCUAGUAAUCGUAGAUCAGAAUGCUACGGUGAAUACGUUCCCGGGUCUUGUACACACCGA
rnacentral:rRNA from 1 species